AUAUCGGCAAAAGUUAAUAUCAGACAUUCCUAAUUUAAAGCUCAAUUAUAAACUGACUUUUGACUUUAUUGUCGUCAUUGUAAAGAGUAAAACCUGUCUGGAGUUUUAUACCUAUUACUUAUUAUUUCUUCAUUUUUAUUCAGGUCCUGGAAAAGACGGUUCAGUGCUAAGAGACCUUGAAACUCAAAUAGCGAGUUGUGGGACUGCUGUUGAUUCAGAGAACAUUUGCACCCUUCCUAUGAUUCUUGGAGAGGGAGAUCAAGGAUGCCCACUUCUGUGCAGGUCAGACAAUUCUUGGUUCCAAAUGGCUGUUAUUACAGUGAAUGGCAACCAAUCUGUCCGAGCGAACGUUCAGGUCUUCGCCAAAACCUCAAGAUUUGGAUCGUUCCUAAAGGAGACUGUUGGUAACGUGCCGUCUCCACAGUCAUCUGCACCAGGAAGAAUUCUAAGCUUCACCACUUUUCUGCUUUCUGUCGCUGUCACCUUGGUGUUCCUACUGUAAAGAUUAUUGCACUCAAAAAAAAAAA